UACGGAGGGUGCAAGCGUUGUUCGGAAUUACUGGGCGUAAAGGGCUCGUAGGCGGCCAACUAAGUCACACGUGAAAUCCCCAGGCUCAACCUGGGAACUGCGUGUGAUACUGGAUGGCUUGAAUUCGGGAGAGGGAUGCAGAAUUCCAGGUGUAGCGGUGAAAUGCGUAGAUAUCUGGAGGAAUACCGGUGGCGAAGGCGGCAUCCUGGACCGACAUUGACGCUGAGGAGCGAAAGCUAGGGGAGCAAACGGG
rnacentral:rRNA from 1 species